CUUCCAGUAGCACCUUAGAGACCAGCUAAGUUUGUUAUUGGUAUGAGUUAAGUGUGCAUGCACACGAAAGCUCAUACCAAUAACAAACAUAGUUGGCCUCUAAGGUGCUACUGGAAU